rnacentral:lncRNA from 1 species
AAUUCCUUCAAUCGAAUCUGACAUAUAAUGUGCCCUUCUGCUCAAAAUAUUGCACAAUUACAUUUCAAAACAUGGCAACAGGUACUUUUCUGACUUACCCUUAGUCAUUUUUUUUUGGAAUUUUCCUUGUGAAUCACCUUUUGUAUUAAAGUUUUAUUCAUCUGUGAAAUUUAGUAGUGUGUCUGUGUUUUUUUCUUAUAAUUGCUUAGGUUGUAGGUCUACAUUUGAUCCUUACAUUGUUGUUUCUUAUGAUGAUUCAUGAAUAUGUUUCAAUUUUUCUGAUGCCUGGUUCAAAGUUGGAACCUUUUUCUUCUCUACAAUUGAUUGAUGUUAUAGGUUGAUGACUUACUUCUUGGUUUUAAACCAUUGAAUGAGCACACAAACUGUAAUAAUUCAAGGUCAAUGUCAUUCAACAUGUUACUAUCUGGUUCAGGUUCACCAUCUUCUGUCACAUAUUCUUUCAUCAAAUUUUGACACAGAGGUCAGAAAAAAAGUUACAUAGCAUUUGGCUUUUUAUAAUGUUUUUUAUUUGGGUUCAGAUAUAUACCUGCGUCUCUGUCCUACCAAAAUACCAUUACCCAUAAGUGUGUUCCCGUUUCCGUUAACAAAUGGUGAGAGAAGUCAUGUGACAUUAUGGCAUCAUACCUCAAUUUUUGUCUCUUUGAAUUUGUCCUUUACUGCAAAAGCAUGCUUCUGUGACAGUUAUUACUCAGUUAAUCAGGUAGCUAGCUAUAGUGGGAAAUGAAU